GAUGAACGCUGGCGGCGUGCCUAAUACAUGCAAGUCGAGCGAACAGACGAGGAGCUUGCUCCUCUGACGUUAGCGGCGGCCGGUUGAGUAACACGUGGAUAACCUACCUAUAAGACUGGGAUAACUUCGGGAAACCGGAGCUAUUACCGGAUAAUAUAUUGAACCGCAUGGUUCAAUAGUGAAAGACGGUUUUGCUGUCACUUAUAGAUGGAUCCGCGCCGCAUUAGCUAGUUGGUAAGGUAACGGCUUACCAAGGCGACGAUGCGUAGCCGACCUGAGAGGGUGAUCGGCCACACUGGAACUGAGACACGGUCCAGACUCCUACGGGAGGCAGCAGUAGGGAAUCGUCCGCAAUGGGCGAAAGCAUGACGGAGCAACGCCGCGUGAGUGAUGAAGGUCUUCGGAUCGUAAAAAUCUGUUAUUAGGGAAGAACAAAUGUGUAAGUAACUAUGCACGGCUUGACGGUACCUAAUCAGAAAGCCACGGCUAACUACGUG
rnacentral:rRNA from 1 species